UACGUAGGGUGCGAGCGUUGUCCGGAAUUAUUGGGCGUAAAGAGCUCGUAGGCGGUUUGUUGCGUCGGCCGUGAAAACCUGCAGCUUAACUGUGGGCCUGCGGCCGAUACGGGCAGACUUGAGUUCGGUAGGGGAGACUGGAAUUCCUGGUGUAGCGGUGAAAUGCGUAGAUAUCGGGAGGAACAUCAGUGGCGAAGGCGGCCCUCUGGUCCAGUACUGACACUCAAGUGCGAAAGCGUGGGGAGCAAACAGGG
rnacentral:rRNA from 1 species